UCUUAAAUGGCUCAGAUGGUAAAGCGUCUCUCUGCAGUGCAGGAGACCCGGGUUCAAUCCCUGGGUUGGGAA
rnacentral:tRNA from 1 species